UGAGUAACGCGUAUCCAACUUCCCAUUACUGUGGGAUAACCUGCCGAAAGGCAGACUAAUACCGCAUAGUCUUCGAUGACGGCAUCAGAUUUGAAGUAAAGAUUUAUCGGUAAUGGAUGGGGAUGCGUCUGAUUAGCUUGUUGGCGGGUAACGGCCCACCAAGGCGAUGAUAGGUAGCCGGCCUGAGAGGGUGGACGGCCACAAGGGGACUGAGAUACGGCCCUUACUCCUACGGGAGGCAGCAGCG
rnacentral:rRNA from 1 species